UACAGAGGUCUCAAGCGUUGUUCGGAUUUACUGGGCGUAAAGGGCGCGUAGGCGGCGUGUUAAGUCAGCUGUGAAAUCUCCAAGCUUAACUUGGAACGGUCAGCUGAUACUGAUGUGCUAGAGUGCAGAAGGGGCAAUCGGAAUUCUUGGUGUAGCGGUGAAAUGCGUAGAUAUCAAGAGGAACACCUGAGGUGAAGACGGGUUGCUGGGCUGACACUGACGCUGAGGCGCGAAAGCUAGGGUAGCAAACGGG
rnacentral:rRNA from 1 species